CAGCACCUCAAGUGGUCAGGAUGAUUAUUGGGCCUAAAGCAUCCGUAGCCGGCUCUGUAAGUUUUCGGUUAAAUCUAUACGCUCAACGUACAGGCUGCCGGGAAUACUGCAGCGCUAGGGAGUGGGAGAGGUAGACGGUACUCGGUAGGAAGGGGUAAAAUCCUUUGAUCUAUUGAUGACCACCUGUGGCGAAGGCGGUCUACCAGAACACGUCCGACGGUGAGGGAUGAAAGCUGUGGGAGCAAAUCGGAUUAGAUACCCGAGUAGUCC
rnacentral:rRNA from 1 species